rnacentral:tRNA from 2 species
AUUCUUUUAGUAUCACUUAGUACAAUUGACUUCCAAUCAAUUAGCUUCGGUGCAACCCGAAAAAGAAUA